AUACGUAGGGGGCAAGCGUUAUCCGGAAUUAUUGGGCGUAAAGAGUGCGUAGGUGGUUACCUAAGCAGGGGGUGAAAGGCACUGGCUUAACCAAUGUCAGCCCCCUGAACUGGGCUACUUGAGUGCAGGAGAGGAAAGUGGAAUUCCUAGUGUAGCGGUGAAAUGCGUAGAUAUUAGGAGGAACACCAGUGGCGAAGGCGACUUUCUGGACUGUUACUGACACUGAGGCACGAAAGUGUGGGGAGCAAACAGGAUUAGAUACCCUGGUAGUCCACACCGUAAACGAUGAGCACUAGGUGUCGGGGGAGCAAUUUCUCGGUGCCGCAGUUAACGCAUUAAGUGCUCCGCCUGGGGAGUACGUACGCAAGUAUGAAACUCAAAGGAAUUGACGGGG
rnacentral:rRNA from 1 species